AAAGGUAUAAAAGAGAUAAUUACAAAAAUAGGGAGGGGUCAAUUAAAAAUCUUCUCAAGAACUGCUGGGCAAGGAAAGUUCAAAUGUUCAUGGCAGCUUCCUGACAUAGUGUAGAUUAAAGUUUGUUGAAACCAUGGCUCCUGGGGGGUAGGAUGCCCGGGGCUACAAUAGGGGAUCAAAGUUUUAUAUCUGAAUAUAUAGGGAACAAAUCUUUAAAAAGCUCCUUCAUAAAGCAAUAAUUAUAUAUAAAUAUUUAUUAUAUUUGAUAUAUAUAUUUAUUUGAUAGUAAAUAUAUAUAAUGCUAUCCAUUUCACGUAAUUUUUGGAAUUUUUUAAUUAUUCUGAUGUCAACCUUACACGUAUAUUUUUCACAGGUUUUGAAUAUAAUGUCUCUAGUAUGGAUAUGUUUGACGAUUGUUACCAUGGAAACGAACUCACAGACCAACAUGUAUGUCAAAACAGGUUUUGAACAUGAUGUCUCCAGCAAGGAUAUGUUUGAUGACGGUUACCAUGGAAACGAACUCACGGACCUAUGUCAAAAAUGUCUUUUUCUGAUAAAAUAAAUAUAAUGCUAUCCAUUUCA